CACUAAAACACUAGUUCUUGUAUGAUCACCAAAGUUAAGCAAUAUUGAGCCUGUUCAGUACCUAGAUUGGUGACUGCUUGGAAAUAAUAGGUGCUGUA